CAUGAACGCUAGCGGCAGGCCUAAUACAUGCAAGUCGAACGAUAUUAAGGGGCUUGCUCCUUAAGAAAGUGGCGCACGGGUGCGUAACGCGUAUGCAACCUACCUUAAUCAGGGGGAUAGCCCGAAGAAAUUCGGAUUAACACCGCAUAAAAACACAGGAUAGCAUUAUCCAAUGUUCAAAUAUUUAUAGGAUUAAGAUGGGCAUGCGUGUCAUUAGCUAGUUGGCGGGGUAACGGCCCACCAAGGCGACGAUGACUAGGGGAUCUGAGAGGAUGACCCCCCACACUGGUACUGAGACACGGACCAGACUCCUACGGGAGGCAGCAGUAAGGAAUAUUGGUCAAUGGAGGCAACUCUGAACCAGCCAUGCCGCGUGCAGGAAGACUGCCCUAUGGGUUGUAAACUGCUUUUAUCCGGGAAUAAACCUUUCUACGUGUAGGAAGCUGAAUGUACCGGAAGAAUAAGGAUCGGCUAACUCCGUGCCAGCAGCCGCGGUAA
rnacentral:rRNA from 1 species